rnacentral:rRNA from 1 species
CCUACGGGAGGCAGCAGUAGGGAAUUUUCGUCAAUGGGGGGAACCCUGAACGAGCAAUGCCGCGUGAGUGAAGAAGGUCUUCGGAUCGUAAAGCUCUGUUGUAAGAGAAAAACGGGUAUCAUAGGGAAUGAUGAUAUCGUGAUGGUAUCUUACCAGAAAGCCACGGCUAACUCCGUGCCAGCAGCCGCGGUAAUACGGAGGAUGCGAGCGUUAUCCGGAUUUAUUGGGUUUAAAGGGUGCGCAGGCGGGAGAUCAAGUCAGCGGUAAAAUGUCGGGGCUCAACCCCGGCCGGCCGUUGAAACUGGUUUUCUAGAGUUGGAGAGAAGUAUGCGGAAUUCGUGGUGUAGCGGUGAAAUGCAUAGAUAUCACGAAGAACUCCGAUUGCGAAGGCAGCAUACCGGCUCCAUACUGACGCUGAGGCACGAAAGCGUGGGGAUCGAACAGGAUUAGAUACCCCUGUAGUC